rnacentral:rRNA from 1 species
UACGGAGGGUGCAAGCGUUAUCCGGAUUCACUGGGUUUAAAGGGUGCGUAGGCGGGCAGGUAAGUCAGUGGUGAAAUCUCCAAGCUUAACUCGGAAACUGCCGUUGAUACUAUUUGUCUUGAAUAUUGUGGAGGUAAGCGGAAUAUGUCAUGUAGCGGUGAAAUGCUUAGAUAUGACAUAGAACACCAAUUGCGAAGGCAGCUUACUACACAACGAUUGACGCUGAGGCACGAAAGCGUGGGGAUCAAACAGG